rnacentral:rRNA from 1 species
GACGAACGCUGGAGGCGUGCCUAAUACAUGCAAGUCGAGCGAAGCGGCGGAUGGGUGAGUAACGCGUGGGUAACCUGCCCUUACGUCUGGUAUACCAUUUGGAAACAGAUGCGAAUACCGGAUACUUAAGGAUUGACCUGCGAUGCAUUAGCUAGUUGGUAAGGUACCGGCUUACAAAGGCGAUGAUGCAUAGCCGAGUUGAGAGUCUGAUCGGCAAGAUUGGGACUGAGACACGGCCCAAACUCCGACGGGGGGCAGCAGUAGGGAAUCUUCCACAAUGGACGAAAGUCUGAUGGAGCAACGCCGCGUGAGUGAAGAAGGUUUUCGGAUCGUAAAGCUCUGUUGUUGGUGAAGCGGUAAUCAACCAGAAAGUCACGGCUAACUACGUGCCAGCAGCCGCGGUAAUUC